AUUGAACGCUGGCGGCAGGCCUAACACAUGCAAGUCGAGCGGUAGAGAGAAGCUUGCUUCUCUUGAGAGCGGCGGACGGGUGAGUAAUGCCUAGGAAUCUGCCUGGUAGUGGGGGAUAACGUUCGGAAACGGACGCUAAUACCGCAUAAGUCCUACGGGAGAAAGCAGGGGACCUUCGGGCCUUGCGCUAUCAGAUGAGCCUAGGUCGGAUUAGCUAGUUGGUGGGGUAAUGGCUCACCAAGGCGACGAUCCGUAACUGGUCUGAGAGGAUGAUCAGUCACACUGGAACUGAGACACGGUCCAGACUCCUACGAGAGGCAGCAGUGGGGAAUAUUGGACAAUGGGCGAAAGCCUGAUCCAGCCAUGCCGCGUGUGUGAAGAAGGUCUUCGGAUUGUAAAGCACUUUAAGUUGGGAGGAAGGGUUGUAGAUUAAUACUCUGCAAUUUUGACGUUACCGACAGAAUAAGCACCGGCUAACUCUGUGCCAGCCGCCGCUGUAA
rnacentral:rRNA from 1 species